AUAUUUUUUUGGUUCAUAAGCAUGAUGAUUGCUUUUUACAUGACAUGUGAGAUAUCUCUCACGAACCUUGUUACAGUCUUGGCACAUGACUUUUGUCUGAUG